CUCAAAGGAAUUGACGGGGGCCCGCACAAGGCGGUGGAGCAUGUGGUUUAAUUCGAUGCAACGCGAAGAACCUUACCUACUCUUGACAUCCACGGAAUUCGNUAGANAUAGCUUAGUGCCUUCGGGAACCGUGAGACAGGUGCUGCAUGGCUGUCGUCAGCUCGUGUUGUGAAAUGUUGGGUUAAGUCCCGCAACGAGCGCAACCCUUAUCCUUUGUUGCCAGCACGUAAUGGUGGGAACUCAAAGGANACUGCCGGUGAUAAACCGGAGGAAGGUGGGGAUGACGUCNANUCAUCAUGGCCCUUACGAGUAGGGCUACACACGUGCUACAAUGGCAUAUACAAAGAGAAGCAAACUCGCGAGAGCAAGCGGACCUCAUAAAGUAUGUCGUAGUCCGGAUUGGAGUCUGCAACUCGACUCCAUGAAGUCGGAAUCGCUAGUAAUCGUAGAUCAGAAUGCUACGGUGAAUACGUUCCCGGGUCUUGUACACACCGCCCGUCACACCAUGGGAGUGGGUUGCAAAAGAAGUAGUAGCUUAACCUUCGGGAGGGCGCUUACCACUUUGUGAUUCAUGACU
rnacentral:rRNA from 1 species